rnacentral:rRNA from 1 species
UACAGAGGGUGCGAGCGUUGUCCGGAAUCACUGGGCGUAAAGGGCGCGUAGGUGGUGGCUUAAGCGUGCGGUGAAAGCUCGGGGCUCAACUCCGAGUCGGCCGUGCGAACUGGGCUCACUGGAGCAUAGUAGAGGCAGGUGGAAUUCCGGGUGUAGCGGUGGAAUGCGUAGAGAUCCGGAAGAACACCGGUGGCGAAGGCGGCCUGCUGGGCUAUGGCUGACACUGAGGCGCGACAGCGUGGGGAGCAACAGGAU